GGACAUGGGGACAUUGAGACACGGGGGCACUGGGAGACAUGGGGACACAGACACCAGGGCCACAGACAUUAGGGACACUAGAUUGGAGACAUGGGGACAUUGAGACACUUGAGGCACUGGGAGACAUAGAGGCACUAGGAGACAUGGGGACAGUGAGACACUGGGAGACUAGGGAUCACUGGGAGAGUAGGUGUAUGUCUCCUUGCAGCCUUUCCCCCCAUCCCUUACUUCCCUGAGCUGUAGGCUGUCUCUGCAGGGUGGGAGUUGCUGUCUGGACUCUCUGUAGCUGCACCCCUGCAGAUCAUUGAG